GGCCACUGUGCACAGCCAAGCACUCUGGCUGCUUUGGUGGAGUGGGCAGCUCCAUGAGCUGGCAUAGAUGCCAUCUCCAUGCAAGGCCGUGGCUGGCCCAGAUGCAGGUGCCUGCAGCAGAAGCUGCAUGUGGUACAUCUGGACAAGGGGAACAUGGCAGUGCCUGGAAGCUUGGAGACACCAAGAACCACAGAGCCCCAAAGAGGGUGUCACAGCCUAGCUUGACAAACCCCUAGGUCUCCAGUCCUCAAAAAGCUGCAGCUUUUCUCUGCUUCUUGUUACUGGUAAUGUGCAGAGUGGGAGGUCAUGUUUCAGCCCUGUUCGUGUUACAGUUCUUUCAGGGGCUGGGACCUAAGUUCUUUUUGCAGGUAGCAGGGACCAGCCUAUGUGCGUGAAGUGUGCAGGUGGAACACAGAGCACUCCACCCACCCAGGUGGAUAUCAGAGGAUGGGCGUUCAGGCACUAGUGAGGCCCAACCCUCUCCCUCAGUGACAUCUGCGUUCCUAAUAUUCUUUUUGAACAUCUGAAAUUCCACCAAAUUCCUGCCUGUCAUCUGGGAGAGACUCCUUGAGGCCAGGUGGAAAUCACACCCAGGUGUCACCAGGAUAAUGAUUCAAUCUCUUCUGCACUUAUUCCAGAGGGCAAGCCCACGACAGGAUGAAAUCCCAAUGCUCUCCUGUGUGCCACGUUCCAGAAGCUCAGGUUCCCCAGCAGCACCUGGGGUUGUGGGAAAGUCUUUCCUGAGGCCAGCCUGGGGCAUCUGGGAUCAGGGGCUGCUUGCCUUUCUGGAGGGGCUCAGCUCAGGACUGAGGGGGAUUCUGGGCUGGAACAGGAGUGCCUGAGUCCCGUCCAGAUGGUGUCUAUGAGCUGCAGGGGGCCCUCAUGCCAGGUUCUUUCUUACAUAGAGGAAACUAGGGUGACAAAAUGUGACCAAUGGGAGUUGGAGUUUACUCUUAUUUCCAAGGAAGCCAUGAGAGUCCUGUGACCCUGGAAAGAGAUGGGGUCCCCAAUAACUAGGGACAUGGCAGUGAGUGGUGCAGCCCGGCUUCCUGUCCUCAAAGAGUUUCAGGCCCACUGUCCCUGGACAGUGACAACCCAGAGUGGGCAGCUCUGGGAUGGGGGACAGACACAGGCUGCUUCUUUGGGAAUUUUGAUAUGGGGUUUUAGUGGCCCCUGCUGCUUGCUGGGAAAAUUCCCCACCUUGGAAUUGUAAUCGAUUUCAGGAGAAAUGACACACAGUUGCUCAUGGAUAUAAAAUAAAUUUUAUAACCAAAAUAGAACCCAGUGUCAGCACUCCCCAAGAAGAAGGAUUCAGGCUUGGUCCAGUGUGAAGCAAGUGGGCACUUAGGCAGGUGGCUUUGCCUAUUUUUUGUGCAUGGGCCCAUGGUGAGGGUUGCUGCAUGUGGGCUGGGUUUUGAGGGGUUCGAAUGUCUUUCUGCUGUGCAGAGAGGGAGCACAUGCUCUGCCCAGAUGUGCAGUGGAUGUGACUAAGGACUGGAAAGCUGAUAAUCUCCAAAACUGAAUGUUCUUGCCAUACAGGGAGAUGAAAGGGCUGCUAGAAAAUAGCUUAUCUAACCCUUUGAGAAAAUGUAAAGAAAAGGUUCCAACCCAGGUGUGUGUGACCGCAAAGUCUCAGGAUUGCUGAGACAGGGGCUUUUGCAUCCACGGAGCCCCGGGUUGGUCCCGCUGCCCUCCCUCCCACUCAGCCUGUGACUCCCUGGCUCUGUCAUCAUCUCCCUCUGCUGAUUUCUCUUCCCAGCCUGACUCAGCUGCCCUGAGAGAUCAGGACCAAGGCCAAGGACGGCCAGCUGGGCUCCUCCCUCCCCAGAGACGCCAACCCAACCCUGCCCUGAGGAAUGUGCUUCUCCUUGGCACUGGCUGGUCUCCAGACCUAAAUUCAACCCUCUUUUUAGCAGGCUGAAUGCCAAGCCCAAUCUCAGCGCCCCCAGGAAGGACCUAGGACUGAGGCUGUGAGCUCUCAACUUGUUUUUUUGGGGCAACAGGCCAGGGCAGCUAGCCAGUGAUUUUAGGAAAGACGAGGUGAACCUGUGCUCAGAGGAUUUUUUCCUCCCAGUGUUUAGUAACUGUUUGGCUGUGACUCACUAGGAAAAGCUCAUAUCACAUUAUUUAUGGCUUACACACAGCCCAAAAGAAAGUUUAAUUAAACAGACGAAUAAGAUACUGUAGCGUGCACAUUCCUCUAUUCUUUACUGAUGCUAGUUUAAUAUCUAAGAUACCCAUGGUGACAAAUAAAUUGGUUCACAACCUGAAGAAGUGUCACAAUCCCCAUGUUGGAGAUCACUGCUCUACCCUGCAGCUGCAGGACAGGGGAGGCCAGAAGUGAGAGUGAGAAAUGGGGUCGGGGAUGUGAGUGCUUAUCUCAUCCACCCAUGAGAGCGAGUGGGCCUGCAGGACUCUGGAAAUUGCAUGAGUAUUUCUGCUCCAUCAGCCUCCUGCCUGGUCUCCUGCUCCCAUCUCAAUCCUCCCAACCAGCCUCCUCCCAACAGAAGGACACACGGACUUUCCUGAAUCACAAUCUGAUCACUUAUAUUUCCUGCUUAGGGCCUGCCUGUAGCUCGGGUGCACUGAGAAGAAAGACCAUUUCUCACCGAGGCUCAUAAGGGGAGGUGGACAGGGGAAGCGAUGGGUAUGGUGGGAGCUUCCAUGGCCUCCUUGGACUCCAGAUCCUUUCAGCACCUCCAUGUGUUCAGCAGCCAGGAAGUUCAAUUCUUCUUGUUCAGGAGUUUUUAGGCUGGGCAUGGUGGCUCACACCUGUAAUCCCAGCACGUUGGGAGGCUAAGGCGGGUGGAUCACCUGAGGUCAAGAGUUCAAGACCACCCUGGCCAUCAUGGGGAAACCUCAUCUCUACUAAAAAAUACAAAAAUUAGCCGGGCGUGGUGGCAGGCACCUGUAAUCCCAGCUACUCGGGAGGCUCAGGCAGGGAGAAUUGCUUGAACCUGGGAGGGGGAGGUUGCAGUGAGCCAAGAUCGUGCCACUGCACUCCAGACUGGGUGACAGAGCAAAACUCUGUCUCAAAAAAAAAAAAGUUUUUAUACUUUGGUCUUUAUCGCCUCCCCAUCAUCACCUUUCUUGGAGGUUAGUGGGUGACACCGAAGGUUCCUUCCCUCUAAUCCUCAGAUCUUUUGGUCUUUCUUCUGGUGACUGCCGUGAUGCUGAGGCUACCUGGAGACCCUACCCUAAGUCAUAUUUUUAGCAUGAGCUAAUGCUGUGUGAUCUGAAAGAGGCUCAUUAGGAAUAACAAAAGACACUCCUGUCACUCAGGAUGUUCCAAGUUCAGCAUCAUAAUAGGAAGAGGGCCAAAGAACACACAUUUUCAUAUUACAGCACACCUGGUAAGCCAUGGGUUCAUCAGACUGGACCCCCCUUACUCUGCCAAAUUUGCAGCACUCAUGAGUUACCAAUCCCAAGGGAGGACUCCCACUGCAGGGAGGAUGGCAAAGGUCACCACUGCGCUAACCACCCGGAAUAGGGGUCUGAACACUUCAGCCACCGCAUCUUGGGCUGCACUCUGACUACACUGAGCGUGGUGAACAGAACACCCACAGCCACAGCCAGUUCGACAAAGCAGGUUAAUUACUUACAGACAGGCAGCGAGGGACAGCGGAAGCCUAGGCUGCAUGACUCACUGGUCCCCCGAGGCUCAGGAGCACGGCCCAGGGCAGAUAGAGUCUCCCGUGCUUGCCCCACUUGCACCACAGCUGAGGACUCAGCAGUGAGCUCUGGGUUUUAUAUGUGGUGGACACGUCCUGGGCUAGUGUUACAGGAGACCCCCUCUGGAAGGGAUGGGAAUGAGGCCAGGGCUGUCCUGGGCAGUUUCUCUGUAGCUCAAGUUGUUGCAUUCUCU
rnacentral:lncRNA from 10 species